UGGUGGAGUGAUUUGUCUGGUUGAUUCCGUUAACGAACGAGACCUCGACCUGCUAAAUAGUGAGUCGAACUGCUUGCGGUUCGUUUGCUCAACUUCUUAGAGGGACUAUCGGUGAUUAGCCGAUGGAAGUUCGAGGCAAUAACA
rnacentral:rRNA from 1 species